CCCCCUCGCGAGACUCGCCGCCAGCUGCCGCCCUCCCGUCGGGCCUCCUCCUGGUCCGCCCCCCUUGUGCAUAUCACGCCCACCGCAUCCGCCGCCGCCCAUCCCCGUCGCGGCCGCCAACGCCUCUCACGUCCUCCGUCCGCCGGCACACGUCCUCUAUAGACGUGUUCUGCGGCCGCCACCACGGGGUGCACCUCCGCGUGCCGGUCUCUGCGAGGUGCGCGUUGGCCGCGCCGCCGCCACCACGUGGGUGGGCUUCGACGCCACCGUGGGGGAGCUCUACUACGCCGCAGCCAGGGCGGAUCCGCAGCUGGCCUUCCUCGCCGGCGUGUGGCACUGCAGGUGGUCGCCCCCUCACGCUCGCCGCCCAGCUCGUCGCUAGCGGUCGCCGUUACUCAAUAGAGGCAAACGGGUAUGUUAGCCGGGAGGAAAUUGACCUUUAAUACGGAGGAAGAUUUCUUUGAGUUUUACAAUAAUGCUUAUGCAUUCCGAAAGGAUUUAGUAUCAGGAAGGACAGGUUCAGGUACAAGCCUAGCACCAAGGAGUGACAUGGAGGAGAUUUGUGUGCUCAUUUGAAGGAUAUAGAGAUGAGAAGCAUUUUGAAAGGAUGGAUCAGAAAAGGCAGCCACGUGCCCUGACCCUAUGUGGAUGUAAUGCCAAGCUUGAUGUGCAGAGGAGUGAAAGCAGUGGCAUAUGGUAUGCGACUGAUUUUGUGGAUGUGCAUUCACAUCCCUUUGCUACACCAGAGCAUGCUUUUGUUUUGCGGUCGCACCAAGGGAUUAAUGAUCCUCAGAAGGCAGAGGCAGUUGAGCUCGGGCUUGGUGGGCUUCGUCCGUAUCAGAUCAUGGACGUCAUGGAGACCAGCCAUGGUGGUCAAAGAGAGACUUGAUUUCUUUCGCAGGAUCUGUACAAUUUUUUUUUCGAGGCAGAAGAAGGGAAAGGUACAAGGGAACGAUGCGGAAUUCGUGAUGAAUCAUAUGCGUCAGAUGCAAGAGAAAGAUCUGGACUUCAUUUUUAAGUAUAGUUUGGAUGCAGAAGGGACGCUUAAGAACGUUUUCUUGUCGGAUGCACAAUCUCAGCUGGACUAUGGUGUUUUUGGAGAUGUAAUGGUAUUCGACAGCACGUAAUGUGUGAACCGGUACAAUCUUACAUUUGUCCCUUUCAUAGGAGUUAAUCAUCAUCGAAGUACGGUUGUAUUAAUCAUCAUCGAAGUACGGUUGUAUUCAGUUGUGGUAUAUUGUCGGAUGAGACUAUUAUACCCUAUGUGUGGCUUCUUGAGGCAUUUUUGGAGGCGAUGCAUCAGCGGCAUCCAAGAUCGUUAAUCAUAGAUGGUGACACAACGAUGGCUAGAGCAAUGGAGAUCGUCUUGCCUAAUGCAGAUCACAGAUUGUGUAGCUGGCUCAUAGAGCAGAACAUGUUGAAACGAUUCCGUGGUGUGAAGCUCAGCAAUUUCAGAAAGUUUAUAUACUCUGCGAUGGAGGAAGGUGAAUUUGAUAGGCUUUGGAAAGAGUUUAGAGCUAACCAUAAUAUCAAACAAGAUAACCUAUGGGUAAAUAUGAUGUAUCAGCAAAGGAAGAAGUGGGCAGCUACUUUCACAAGAGGGAGGUAUUUCUUGGGCAUGCAAAGCAAUCAGAGGAGCGAGAGUCUGAACUCAAGGCUUCACAAUCAUUUGGAUCGGAAGAUGUCUCUAGUGUGGAGCAUUAUGAGUUCUGCACCUUUCACUAAGAUUUCUGCCGAUGAGCUUGAGAAAAGUGCCGCUCAAACCUUCACACCAGUCAUUUUCCGAAGAGUGAUCAUACAGAUUCGGAAAGGAUAUAAUUUAUUUGUUAGAGAGGUGUUAUUUCAUAAUGGAUCUUUGAGGUAUGAGGUUGCAAUGCAAAGCAAUAACCAGUGGUUUUUCCAUGUAGCUUGUACAUUUCGGUCAUCUUUGGCUGAUGCUAGAUCCCAUUGCCGGAAGAUGGAGCGUGAAGGAAUUCCAUGUGCACACAUUUCCUGCGUCCAUGAAGUAUGCUUGUAUUGGGAGCAUCCCUCCUUGCUGUGUAUAUCUUAGGUGGUCGAUGAAUGCUAAGAGUGCGUUCCCAACAGAGAUGCGUACCAACACCCAUGUGUGGACUGAACAAAUGGAUCAUUUCUAUUUACUUCGCAACAAGGGGAAUCGAGCUUUAUUCAAAGUUUCUAGAAGCCAACACGAUACAGAUAGGGUAAUGAAGUUAUUAGAUGAUAUCUUGAAGGAAGAUGUGGGUGACAAUGGAACAGAAGAGGAGACAUCAUUUGGUCCUCUGCCGGCUCACUUCUCAGCAGCCUAUCAAUCAUUUGGCUCCAAAGUUCCCGAUCCAGUGAAGAUUGUUACGAGAGGUGCUCCGCAAUCGAACUAGAGGUGGAAGGCGAGCCAUGAAUUCUGGAGUACUAACUGAAAGCGUGCAGGCAAAACGACCUGCUAAUGAUACAUGAUGGAGGGGAGUCUUUUAGAAUAAUUGACAAGACUGGAAGGGAUGAUGCCACCACUGUCAUCCAAAGAGAAGAGUGGCCAAAGUCGAGGCAAGAUGUGGAGAAGCAUUUCAGGAAGCUCAGAUAUUUGGACUCCCUAAGAUAGUAGACGUCGUGCUGGUCAUCAAAUAUUUCAUAACUAUGCUCUUGUAGAUUGAAUCUUAAGGCACAACUUGCCAAACAAUUUGCGGCCUUUUUUUAUCAAUUGUAUAUGCAGAGUUUAUUUAGCCACGCCUCUAGGCCACAUUCGGGAUGCAAGCAACGUCGUGGCUACUAUUUUAUUUGACAGUACUAUUGUAUUGGCAAGGCAAAGCCUGAAUGACAAUGAUAGAUUUUUUUAAUUGGAAAGAGAACCAUGUUGCCAAA